rnacentral:rRNA from 1 species
CCUACGGGGGGCAGCAGUGAGGAAUAUUGGUCAAUGGACGAGAGUCUGAACCAGCCAAGUAGCGUGAAGGAUGACUGCCCUAUGGGUUGUAAACUUCUUUUAUAUGGGAAUAAAAUGUUCCACGUGUGGGAUUUUGUAUGUACCAUAUGAAUAAGGAUCGGCUAACUCCGUGCCAGCAGCCGCGGUAAUACGGAGGGUCCGAGCGUUAUCCGGAUUUAUUGGGUUUAAAGGGAGCGUAGGUGGAUUGUUAAGUUAGUUGUGAAAGUUUGCGGCUCAACCUUAAAAUUGCAGUUGAAACUGGCAGUCUUGAGUACAGUAGUGGUGGGCGGAAUUCGUCGUGUAGCGGUGAAAUGCUGAGAUAUCACGAAGAACUCCGAUUGCGAAGGCAGUUCACUGGACUGCAACUGACACUGAGGCUCGAAAGUGUGGGUAUCAAACAGGAUUAGAUACCCCAGUAGUC